AGAGAAAAUUAAGCAUUAGGCACAUCUGUGUUACUGUAAGGCCAAGCCAUUUUGUUUAAGAUACAUUUAAAUCAAUAGGAAGCAAAACAAAGAUCUGUUACAAUCUGUUCACAAGAACAUAUUUUGCAUUGAGGGAUAACUGGCAGUUAGAAGAAAAGUGAAGAGAUCAAUGAAGGGAGACAAGUACUCCAGCCCCUUCCUUUAUUUGUAUAAUUGAAUUAUCUAUUAUAUGAAUACAAGAAAAACAGGAAUGGAUGUUUCCAAAAUACUGCAGAAAAAAAACAUGAGUAUUCCAUUCACACCUCCUAAAGGAUAACAAUCUGUCUCCUAAAUCUCCUGAGAGUUAGAAAGAGCAGCAAAGGCAAAAAGAGCUCCCACUUUAAUAUACUCAAUUUAUCCGUUUCCACAUUUCUGUAACCGAAGCCCUUUUCCCUUUGCAAUAAAUCUGACAAAUCUAGCCGUCUUCCUUGUUAGUGGCUUAACAUUCUGGGUUUACAAAAAUUUAGGCAGUGAAAAAAAGACAAGGGCAGAACUGAGGAGAAGCUGAAUAAACUUUGGACAGAAGCGGGAUAAAAAGAAGACUGACAACAUGGGAUUGCCAAGAAAAUUGGGAAGUCCAGAAAGGGCAAUGUGUGGAGAAUAAGGAAGAUGAUCUUGAUGGAGAUAUGCAAGAACUAUUACCUAAGCAGAGAUGCUGAAACAUUUUUUUUUAAAGUCCCGAACAGGAUAACAUUCAAAAGUAGCUCAGUGGACUUCUCCCUGAUUUACUGGAGUAUAAGUUGAAGUGGGAUAGGACAAUCAAAUUCUGUUAUUGCCAAUAUUAAUAAAUGUAAGUUUAACACC